rnacentral:rRNA from 1 species
UGGCGGCGUGCUUAACACAUGCAAGUCGAGCGAUGAAGCACCUUCGGGUGUGAAUUAGCGGCGAACGGGUGAGGAACACGUGAAGAAUCUGCCUUCAACUCUGGGAUAACUCCGGGAAACCGGGGCUAAUACCGGAUAUGAGCCUUGAUCGCAUGAUCGGGGCUGGAAAGUUUUUCGGGUUGAAGAUGACUUCGCGGCCUAUCAGCUUGUUGGUGAGGUAAUGGCUCACCAAGGCAACGAUCAGUAGCUGGUCUGAGAGGACGAUCAGCCACACUGGGACUGAGACACGGCCCAGACUCCUACGGGAGGCAGCAGUGGGGAAUUUUGGACAAUGGGGGCAACCCUGAUCCAGCAAUGCCGCGUGAGUGAAGAAGGCCUUCGGGUUGUAAAGCUCUUUUGUCAGGGAAGAAACAGCAGCUCUAACACAGUCUGCGAAUGACGGUACCUGAAGAAUAAGCACCGGCUAACUACGUG